CGGGCAUAAUGGCGCCGCCGACCGUGGCCAGAACGGGUCGGGAACAAGGACUUGGAGGAAUGCCAAGUCUUUUCGCUCCCGAGAUACGGGAGCGUGAGCCACAGGGGGAUAGCGUGACAGCACGUUCACAUUUCCAAAGCGCGGACGACGCGGGGCAUCCCGGGCCUGAGCACAGAGUCUCAGGCAGAGGCCCGAGAGUGAGAGUACUGGGCAUGGCUAAUAGCCGUGCCACCCGGCAAUGGGGUGGCACAUGGAUUAGCCGGCGUCGGUGUAGGAUACCGCGGCCUCGUAAAGCGUGUAAGAGGUCAAGGUCCUACUUACACCAUAGGCCUUAAUCGGAGUCAAAGGGCUCCAAUAAGGCCAGGUAUCCCGUUCAAACCGGUGCACAAUGACUCGUCAAACGAUGCCAUUUGCAUGUUGAGCGUACCGAUUUAGCCUGUGGCUAUCGUUACCGGAGGCCGUCCUAGUUGGCCCCCGAUCUCGCCGGCGGUGGGCGCCACCUCG
rnacentral:rRNA from 1 species